rnacentral:rRNA from 1 species
CCUACGGGAGGCAGCAGUGGGGAAUAUUGCGCAAUGGGCGAAAGCCUGACGCAGUGACGCCGCGUGAGGGCUGAAGGUCUUCGGAUCGUAAACCUCUGUCAGCAGGGAAGAACGGUCACUGUGCUAAUCAGCCGUGAAUUGACGGUACCUGCAAAGGAAGCACCGGCUAACUCCGUGCCAGCAGCCGCGGUAAUACGGAGGGUGCGAGCGUUCAUCGGAAUUACUGGGCGUAAAGCGCUCGUAGGCGGUAUGUCAAGUCAAGGGUGAAAUCCCCGCGCUCAACGUGGGAACUGCCUUUGAAACGGGCAAACUGGAGUGUGUGAGAGGAUAGUGGAAUUCCAGGUGUAGGAGUGAAAUCCGUAGAUAUCUGGAGGAACAUCAGUGGCGAAGGCGACUAUCUGGCACAUAACUGACGCUGAGGAGCGAAAGCGUGGGUAGCAAACAGGAUUAGAUACCCCAGUAGUC